CGAGGGCGCUGCUGUGGGGCACAGGGUCCCUCUAGAAUGAUGCCCCCCAACCCUGGGAGACCAGGGGAGAGGUCAUAUGGACCCUGCUCUCUGCCCAGACCCUAGUGGGUUUAGACCAGGAGUCAGAACAAGGACGGGCCUGUGAUGUGUCUGUCUAUGACGAGGAGGACAAUGUCCUAAGGAAUGGAGAGGAAGAAAGUGAAGGGAACCAGGUCCCUGGAUUCCAUGUGGAACAGUAGCCCAGGAUGUGCACUAUGGACUGUUACAAGAGAGAGACAUGAUCUUCCUUAAGGCA
rnacentral:lncRNA from 10 species